UACGUAGGUGACGAGCGUUAUCCGGAUUUACUGGGCGUAAAGCGCUUGUAGGUGGCUUUGUAAGUUGGGCGUGAAAACACCGGGCUUAACUCGGUGACGCCGUCCAAUACUGCGAGGCUGGAGGAUGUCAGAGGAAGGUGGAAUUCCUGGUGUAGUGGUGAAAUGCGUAGAUAUCAGGAGGAACACCGAUGGCGAAGGCGGCUCACUGGACUGGUAUUGACGCUGAGGUGCGAAAGCAUGGGGAGCGAACAGG
rnacentral:rRNA from 1 species